CGAUGAUGCCCAGCUUGCUGGGUGGAUUAGUGGCGAACGGGUGAGUAACACGUGAGUAACCUGCCCCUGACUCUGGGAUAAGCGUUGGAAACGACGUCUAAUACUGGAUAUGAUCACUGGCCGCAUGGUCUGGUGGUGGAAAGAUUUUUUGGUUGGGGAUGGACUCGCGGCCUAUCAGCUUGUUGGUGAGGUAAUGGCUCACCAAGGCGACGACGGGUAGCCGGCCUGAGAGGGUGACCGGCCACACUGGGACUGAGACACGGCCCAGACUCCUACGGGAGGCAGCAGUGGGGAAUAUUGCACAAUGGGCGAAAGCCUGAUGCAGCAACGCCGCGUGAGGGAUGACGGCCUUCGGGUUGUAAACCUCUUUUAGUAGGGAAGAAGCGAAAGUGACGGUACCUGCAGAAAAAGCACCGGCUAACUACGUGCCAGCAGCCGCGGUAAUACGUAGGGUGCAAGCGUUGUCCGGAAUUAUUGGGCGUAAAGAGCUCGUAGGCGGUUUGUCGCGUCUGCUGUGAAAUCCCGAGGCUCAACCUCGGGCUUGCAGUGGGUACGGGCAGACUAGAGUGCGGUAGGGGAGAUUGGAAUUCCUGGUGUAGCGGUGGAAUGCGCAGAUAUCAGGAGGAACACCGAUGGCGAAGGCAGAUCUCUGGGCCGUAACUGACGCUGAGGAGCGAAAGCGUGGGGAGCGAACAGGAUUAGAUACCCUGGUAGUCCACGCCGUAAACGUUGGGCGCUAGAUGUAGGGACCUUUCCACGGUUUCUGUGUCGUAGCUAACGCAUUAAGCGCCCCGCCUGGGGAGUACGGCCGCAAGGCUAAAACUCAAAGGAAUUGACGGGGGCCCGCACAAGCGGCGGAGCAUGCGGAUUAAUUCGAUGCAACGCGAAGAACCUUACCAAGGCUUGACAUACACCGGAAACGGCCAGAGAUGGUCGCCCCCUUGUGGUCGGUGUACAGGUGGUGCAUGGUUGUCGUCAGCUCGUGUCGUGAGAUGUUGGGUUAAGUCCCGCAACGAGCGCAACCCUCGUUCUAUGUUGCCAGCGCGUUAUGGCGGGGACUCAUAGGAGACUGCCGGGGUCAACUCGGAGGAAGGUGGGGAUGACGUCAAAUCAUCAUGCCCCUUAUGUCUUGGGCUUCACGCAUGCUACAAUGGCCGGUACAAAGGGCUGCGAUACCGUAAGGUGGAGCGAAUCCCAAAAAGCCGGUCUCAGUUCGGAUUGAGGUCUGCAACUCGACCUCAUGAAGUCGGAGUCGCUAGUAAUCGCAGAUCAGCAACGCUGCGGUGAAUACGUUCCCGGGCCUUGUACACACCGCCCGUCAAGUCAUGAAAGUCGGUAACACCCGAAGCCGGUGGCCUAAC
rnacentral:rRNA from 1 species